ACCCCAAGGCCCCAGGCCCAACAUUAGGAAAACUAACCCCUGUGCCCUGAAGCUGCAAGAUGUUCCAUAUAGAUAACCCCGGAAGGGCCAAACUUGAGCAAACAGGGUAAAAACAGGAACUAAAAGGACAGGAUGCAAUUUUAUGGUUUUUCUGAGAACUAAAGUGGGAAAACAAGUUUACCCCCCUAGGUGACUCAACUGCUGAAUUCAGAGGGACCAAUAGGAAGGCUGUUGCUGUGCUAAGCUAAGACCUAACCCACCUGUUCCCUAUAAAAGAUCUAUACCCCAAAGCCCGGUGUGCCAGUUCACCGAAGCUCCGGCUGAGGUUUUGCUGUGCACCCGCAGGCGCCUGUGUGAGAAUAAACGCCUCCUGCUUUUUGCAGCCAGUGUCUCGUGUGGUUCAUUCCGGGUUUGGGAUCUGUGGAUAUUUCAUUGUGGAGGCCCCACCGAGAUCCAAGAUCCCGGUUCCGGUUCCGAUCCCGGUCCCUAUCCGGAGGACACCCGACAUCACUGGGAGACUCAUUUGCAUGCUUUGCAAUUGGUCCAGAACGAGGUCUGGAAGCCUCUAGCCGCAGCAUACAAAGAGGAACUUAAAACCCCCUUGCUGCCACAUCCCUUCAAGGUCGGAGAUACCGUCUGGGUACGCAGGCACCAGAGCAGGAACCUCGAACCGCGGUGAAAAGAACCCUACACUAUCCUGCUGACCACUCCUACUGCACUCAAAGUGGACGGCAUCGCUGCUUAGAUCCAUGCUUCCCACGUGAAGACUGCACAUCCACAGGAGUCCGCAGACACCUCUCCGGAUCCAGAAUGAAAGUUGCAACGUACCCAAAAUCCGCUAAAGAUAAGACUCACUCGCUGUUGAUUUUUCUUGCUUUGUGCUGUGUCUUCCCCAUUUCAGUUAACCCCAACCAAUCUGUGAGCCAGACAUGACAAGUAUUAUCGGGGACAAGAAAUAUAAUUUAAAAAAAAACAAAACAAAAAAAAAAAAACAAUGGGGCCUGAGAGUAUAUCAUAAAACUGCCUAUGACCCUGGGGUCCUAUUCAAAAUUAGAUUAAUAGUAAAUACCAACCCCCAACCAGUAUGCUGAGCCGUCAGCUGAAAUAAUGCUGGAAUCCGAGCAGAUGGGUCAAUGGAUAUAAGAUUAUAUCCAUGAUAUAAAAAAAGGGGGGAAUGAAGGACCCCAAGGCCCCAGGCCCAACAUUAGGAAAACUAACCCCUGUGCCCUGAAGCUGCAAGAUGUUCCAUAUAGAUAACCCCGGAAGGGCCAAACUUGAGCAAACAGGGUAAAAACAGGAACUAAAAGGACAGGAUGCAAUUUUAUGGUUUUUCUGAGAACUAAAGUGGGAAAACAAGUUUACCCCCCUAGGUGACUCAACUGCUGAAUUCAGAGGGACCAAUAGGAAGGCUGUUGCUGUGCUAAGCUAAGACCUAACCCACCUGUUCCCUAUAAAAGAUCUAUACCCCAAAGCCCGGUGUGCCAGUUCACCGAAGCUCCGGCUGAGGUUUUGCUGUGCACCCGCAGGCGCCUGUGUGAGAAUAAACGCCUCCUGCUUUUUGCA